UACGUAGGGUGCAAGCGUUAAUCGGAAUUACUGGGCGUAAAGCGUGCGCAGGCGGUUGUGCAAGACCGAUGUGAAUCCCCGGGCUCAAACCUGGGAAUGGCAUUGGUGACUGCACGGCUAGAGUGUGUCAGGAGGGGUAGAUCACGUGUAGCAGUGAAAUGCGUAGAGAUGUGGAGGAAUACCGAUGGCGAAGGCAGCCCC
rnacentral:rRNA from 1 species